GCGGUCCCCACAGACAAGGAAGUCACCUGGGGGUAGGAAAGCACUACAUGUGUGCCAUCUUUGCCUGCUUGGGGGAAGCAGGUACCUGCAACGUUCCUUGACAAAGAUGGCCUUGCCCGUGGGUGCAGCCGAGAUCUCCAAGCAAGCUACCACCCCACCAGGGCCUGAUGCCAACAGAAGAAGCUCCUCAUACCCACGCAGGGCCCAGCUCAGGCUGUGGACCUUCCCCUGGAACAGGUUCUGUUCAACAGCAGCAGUGGGGGUGUUGAUGGGGACAACCUUCACAAGACCCUCCCCAUUGGCCAAGGCACAGAGUCCAAAACCCUCAGGACCAGGAGCUGCCUCCAGCAGGCAGUACGACUGAAAUCGAUUGUCCUCCAGCAGUUUUUCCCAGUUUUUGACCUCAAGGUCGUAGAGGUACAGGGCCCCCUCAUCAGUCACGGCCAGUACUCGCCAAGAACCAGCCAGAGUCACAGCCUUGAGGGCACCUGGCCGGCUAGGAGAUUUGAAGCACAGAGAUGAGACACCCAGGCCUGGGUAGCCCCGGCUUGACAGGUGCCAGAGCCGAAUUCCUGAGUCGUCUCCCCCAGUGACCACCCAGGUUUGCCUCUCGUGAGUAGCUAUGGCCCGGAUCCCUCGGCCCCGGUGGCCCCGAAAGGCUUGAAGGAUCUCCCCUUCGUGGUUCCACACCAAGCAGACACAGUCCUCUCCUGCACUGAUGAGGCACCCGGAGGUCGCCCACCUUCCAGAUUCGAACACUUCGAUCUUCUGAAGCAGUUGCCAGCAGGCCCUUGCUUUCCAGGGGUUUUGAUCAUCUGAGUUCACCUACGGGUGCACCGCCCCUCCCCCAACAUGGACCGACUGCGUCCCCCACACCUUCCCGAGUCUCUGUCCAUCCUUUCAACGCUGGCUGCCACGGCUACCACAGACUUUUGUCUCGAGCCCCGCCCUCCUCCCGCUGGCCAGUGUUUCCCGCCACCUCCGAACCUGCUUUAUCCCCCCCCACCCCA